CCCCUGGAGGGCCCCUAGGGAAGGCGAGCUACACCUCUGUGGCAAAAUUAAUAAAAUUGAAUUAAGCAGCUCACGGGGGAACCGCCUAAUGCUUCCUGUGCUUGGCAGUGGCAGCAAUGAGAUUAUUUUACAUCUUUCUUUAUUAAAAAAGUUCCCAGUUGUAUAAAAAAUGAGCUCCAUUAUGGGGAGGCGCACCCGGAUAACAUUCUAAUUCCACAUGCCGUCACUGUGGGUGGCCAUUUAUUUUGGGAGGACGCGGAGAUGCGGCCACCGGACUGGAGCACCAUUAAUCUCAGGCUGGGAGAGGGACCAAUUAAAGCCUGGGAAACUUUUGGUCCAGUUCACACCGCAGAGAGGAAAUCCUAAUAGCACUAAUCACUGCCAUUUAUUGAGCACCUGGGUUCUACCAGCAUUGGGCUAGGUACUUGGAAUAUAUUAUCUUGUUUCCGCAGAGGAGUCUGAGACUCAGAGGAGUUGCUCAGGGCUACAUGCCAGGCCCAGGCAGGAAUCAAACCAAGGUCAAAUUUUCCAUUUAGCACACUGCCUUAGAUGUGCAUGAGGGGGCUCCUGGAGAAUUCAGACAGGGGGCUCGGGGAGGCUGCAGAUGGUGGCGGGCCACAGACAACAAAGACACUUACGGCCUUCCUCAGGGAAUCAGUGGAAGGCUCUUUCCCACUUCGGUUUUUGCUAGAGUUCUAGGCUGUUGAGGAGACACAGGAAGGCUUGUUUUGUGGAUUCUAGUUGUGUGAUAUUGGCUGUGUCGAGACAGCGCCAGCCGUGUGGCAUGAGGAUGCUUCUGUGGUUUUUAGGAGUCAGCAACAAUCUCGCUCAGUUCUGUGGUUCCCUUCAGCCCAGCCAGAGCCUACAGAGCAGCUGGGGUCUGCAAGGCGCUGUGCUCAGAACCGGGCUGGUUUCUUCACUUUCACGCUCCCUGUCACCUUCCUUUCUGAAGCUAGAGGGAAAAGAAGUGGGGCACUCGGGCCUGGGGGGCGGGGGCGGUAAUAACACUCUGCAGAAACAUGGGGGGUGAGGCAGUGAAAGGGCUGGCUCAGGGCAUCCACAUUCUGAAGAGCACUCUGAAAUGCCAGACCACAGAUGCCAACCCACUGGCAGCAGGGACAGCUGGGGUUGGGGGUCGUUUUGCUCACUUAGUAAGGGGACAACUGCCUGGAAGGAGUGGAGGAUGUGGCUUAGGUUCCAAAUAGCUAAACUGGAUUCUGCUAGAUAUUAAUAAGAACAUAGUAGUAAGAAUAGCAGGAACAACAGGAGUAGGUUAUUGACCACUUCCUGUGUGCAAGGCUCGGUAUGAGGCAUUCUGUAUAUUAUUUCCAAUUCUUGUCGCAACUUGUAAAAUUGAUUCAUCCUUCCCAUUUUUUUUUGGAAAAUGAGACUGAGGCUCCGGAUGAAUGAAAUGGCAUCACGGACGGGCUGAAAUUCAGUCCGGGUAUCACAGAAGCUGGAAAUCCAACUCAGGCCUAACACCAAAGCCGGUGAUCUUGCCACAACGGAAGAGAGAUUCGAGAUUUCUUAUUAAUGCCUUCCAGAGCCUGGGAAAUGCCACUGGAUCUCCCUGCUGCCUGAUCAAUAACUGUGAUUAGCCCAUCAGAACACUGCUGUUUCUGGCUCAGCAGGGAAAAACUGGAGUUGCCCAUCUGGGGAACCCUGAACACCUAGGUGCCACGCCCCCUCUGUGGAGCCCUUUCUCUUCCUGCUACAGAGCUGCUGACAGAAAGAUAGCACCACUGGACAAGUUGGGACAGUUUUGCCCCCUCUCUGGAUUCCAAGUGGCUGCUUCAAACCCUGGCCCUGCGAUUGGGUGACUUUGGGACAGUGGCUUAGUUCUGUCUGUUUUGGCUCUAAAGAACUGGCAAAUUUCUUUCUUUCUAACCAAGAGGAAGGAAUGUGUUAAUAUGGGAAAGCCCUUGGAGUCAGACGUUCUAGGCUUUGAAUACAGGCUCUACACUUGCCAGCAAUGAAUGAUAACCCUAGAGGAUGGGCACUCAGUUCUCUUUUCCUGUGAACCAUCAACCCCCUACAAAUGACAUGAUUUCAGGCAGGUUAUAUAACACAACCUCUGGGAGCUUCUGUUUUCUCCUCUAUAAAAUGAAGACAGUGACACCUGUCUCAGGAAGAUACUGUGAAGUUCAAAUAAGAGUUACCUGGUCAGGCUGUGGAGAGAAAUCAUGGAGAGGAUGUGGACUCUCUCACCCAUUGUCUGCAGCCUCUAAGGGCUUCAAGCUCUCUUGUCAGUUUACACUUAGCCUUCAUAAAUCUGCCAAACCACCCUAGCUGAUCUCUUGUUACCAGUUGUGU